rnacentral:tmRNA from 1 species
GGGGGCGAAAUAGGAUCGACGUGCCUAAUAAAAAGAUUGCUUUUACUCGGGAUGAUUCCGCCGAUGGCUUGUGCCAUAUGGGUCAAAACAAAGAAACGCAAACGAUAAUAAUCGUUCUGUAGGUCGUUUAGCUUUAGCAGCUUAACCCUACGCGGCUGGAGGGUGUGCCGGGCAACAGAAAAACCCUCACU